rnacentral:rRNA from 1 species
GAUGAACGCUGGCGGCGUGCUUAAUACAUGCAAGUCGAACGGAGUGCUAGCAAUAGUACUUAGUGGCGAACGGGUGAGUAACGCGUUGGUGACCUGCCCCGAAGAUGGGGAUAACAGUUCGAAAGGACUGCUAAUACCCGAUGAUGUCAUUGAGGUUAGAGGCUUGAUGACGAAAGGAGUAAUCCGCUUUGGGAGGGGCCUGCGUCCCAUCAGCUAGUUGGUAAGGUAAAGGCUUACCAAGGCGAAGACGGGUAGGGGACCUGAGAGGGUGAUCCCCCACACUGGCACUGAAACACGGGCCAGACACCUACGGGAGGCAG